UUGAACGCUGGCGGCAUGCUUUACCCAUGCAAGUCGAACGGUAACAGGCCUUCGGGUGCUGACGAGUGGCGAACGGGUGAGUAAUGCAUCGGAACGUACCCAGAGGUGGGGGAUAACGCAGCGAAAGCUGUGCUAAUACCGCAUGUGAUCUGAGGAUGAAAGCGGGGGACCGAGCAGCAAUGUUUGGCCUCGCGCCUUUGGAGCGGCCGAUGUCGGAUUAGCUAGUUGGUGGGGUAAAGGCCUACCAAGGCGACGAUCCGUAGCUGGUCUGAGAGGACGACCAGCCACACUGGGACUGAGACACGGCCCAGACUCCUACGGGAGGCAGCAGUGGGGAAUUUUGGACAAUGGGCGCAAGCCUGAUCCAGCAAUGCCGCGUGCGGGAAGAAGGCCUUCGGGUUGUAAACCGCUUUUGGCAGGAACGAAACGGUGUCCGCUAAUACCGGGCGCUAAUGACGGUACCUGCAGAAUAAGCACCGGCUAACUACGUG
rnacentral:rRNA from 1 species